UCCAGCAGCCGCGGUAAUACGUUCCCGGGUCUUGUACACACCGCCCGUCACACCACGAGAGUUUACAACACCCGAAGCCGGUGGGGUAACCCGCAAGGGAGCUAGCCGUCGAAGGUGGGGUAGAUGAUUGGGGUGAAGUCGUAACAAGGUAGCCGUAUCGGAAGGUGCGGCUGGAUCACCUCCUUUCUAAGGAAAUACCCAACUACGAUGAUAGUUGGAUAAACAGGCAGGUUUUAUUGCUCACUCGUUGUCAGUUUUGAAAGAUUAAUCCUCUUUCAACGAAUCCGUUUGGUGGCGAUGG
rnacentral:misc_RNA from 1 species